AUGAAGUACAAGAUGGCGAAGAAGGCCGCAAAGCGAGCUGUUGGUGAAGCAAGGGGUCGGGCAUAUGAGGACCUCUACCAACGGUUAGGCACGAAGGAAGGUGAAAGGGACAUCUAUAAGAUGGCUAAGAUCCGGGAGAGGAAGACGAGGGAUAUUGGCCAAGUCAAAUGCAUCAAGGACGGAGCAGGCCAACUCUUGGUGAAGGACGAAGAGAUUAAGCAUAGAUGGCGGGAGUACUUCGACAAGCUGUUCAAUGGGGAGAAUGAGAGUUCUACCAUUGAACUGAAUGACUCCUUUGAUGAGACCAGCAUGCGUUUUGUGCGGCGCAUCCAGGAGUCUGAGGUGAAGGAGGCUUUAAAAAGGAUGAAAGGAGGCAAGGCGAUGGGCCCUGAUUGUAUCCCCAUUGAGGUGUGGAAAGGUCUCGGGGACAUAGCGAUAGUAUGGCUAACCAAGCUUUUCAACCUCAUUUUUCGGGCAAACAAGAUGCCAGAAGAAUGGAGACGGAGUAUAUUAGUACCAAUCUUCAAGAACAAGGGGGAUGUUCAGAGUUGUACAAAUUACCGUGGAAUUAAGCUGAUGAGCCAUACAAUGAAGCUAUGGGAGAGAGUCAUUGAGCACCGCUUAAGAAGAAUGACAAGCGUGACCAAAAAUCAGUUUGGUUUCAUGCCUGGGAGGUCGACCAUGGAAGCCAUUUUCUUGGUACGACAACUUAUGGAGAGAUAUAGGGAGCAUAAGAAGGACUUGCAUAUGGUGUUCAUUGACUUGGAGAAGGCCUAUGAUAAGAUACCGCGGAAUGUCAUGUGGUGGGCCUUGGAGAAACACAAAGUCCCAGCAAAGUACAUUGCCCUCAUCAAGGACAUGUACAAUAAUGUUGUGACAAGUGUUCGAACAAGUGAUGUCGACACCGAUGACUUCCCGAUUAAGAUAGGACUGCAUCAGGGGUCAGCUUUGAGCCCUUAUCUUUUUGCAUUGGUGAUGGAUGAGGUCACAAGGGGUAUACAAGGAGAUAUCCCAUGGUGUAUGCUCUUUGCGGAUGAUGUGGUGCUAGUUGACGAUAGUCGGACGGGGGUAAAUAGGAAGUUAGAGUUAUGGAGACAAACCUUGGAAUCGAAAGGGUUUAGGCUUAGUAGAACUAAAAUCGAGUACAUGAUGUGCGGUUUCAGUACUACUAGCUGUGAGGAGGAGGAGGUUAGCCUUGAUGGCCAGGUGGUACCUCGAAAGGACACCUUUCGGUAUUUGGGGUCAAUGUUGCAGGAGGAUGGGGGUACUGAUGAAGAUGUGAACCAUCGAAUCAAAGCCGGAUGGAUGAAGUGGCGCCAAGCUUCUGGCAUUCUCUGUGACAAGAGAGUGCCACAAAAGCUAAAAGGCAAGUUCUACAGGACGGCGGUUCGACCCGCAAUGUUGUAUGGCGCGAAGUGUUGGCUAACUAAAAGGCGACAUGUUCAACAGUUAGGUGUGGCGGAGAUGCGUAUGUUGAGAUGGAUGUGUGGCCACACGAGGAAGGAUCGAGUCCGGAAUGAUGAUAUACGAGAUAGAGUUGGGGUAGCACCAAUUGAGGAGAAGCUUGUCCAACAUCGUUUGAGAUGGUUUGGGCAUAUUCAGCGCAGGCCUCCAGAAGCUCCAGUGCAUAGCGGACGGCUAAAGCGUGCGGAGAAUGUCAAGAGAGGGCGGGGUCGACCGAUUUUGACAUGGGAGGAGUCCGUUAAGAGAGACCUGAAGGAUUGGAGUAUCGACAAAGAGCUAGCUAUGGACAGGGGUGCGUGGAAGCUUGCUAUCCAUGUGCCAGAGCCAUGA
rnacentral:rRNA from 1 species